GUGGUCGACUCCUGUUACCUGC
rnacentral:siRNA from 1 species